UCACGGCAACGCCGGAUCGUUAACCCACUGAGCAAGGGCAGGGACCGAACCCGCAACCUCAUGGUUCCUAGUCGGAUUCGUUAACCACUGCGCCACGACGGGAACUCCAGAAAGACUUUUCUUAGACACUCCAUCUCUCAAUCUGCAUCUGACAUAAGGCGCAAACUACAAAAAUUGGAGGAAAGCCCUCACACCCAACCACAGGAUCUCUUGAGCCUUGCCUUCAAGGUCUGUGAUAAUUGGGAUGAAGAGGUUAAAAGCCAAAAAUUAAAAAGAGAUCAGGCUAAAUACCAAACGCUGGCAACUGCCAUUCAGGGCUCCCAAAAAUACAGGCUCCCUCCUGAGGACAAUGGCUCCAAGGCCCCUCCAGACCCAUGUUACAGAGGCCACUGAAAGGUCAGCUGUGACCAAGCUCUUCAGGAGAGGCCACAUCCCUGCCUUUGGAGAGACCUGAAUCAUCAAACCUCCACCUGCCGAGCCACCUUGGCCUGACUGCAGAAGACUGAGGGUGCCUGGGGCCCCCGGCCCCAGGCCUAUCACUCCAUCGGAGCCCUGGGGAACUCUGCUAGUUGCAGACCGGCGAGGCAGACACACACACUGGAGAUUGUCAUCGAAGGCAACACAUACUUCAGUAGAGAGAAGUGCAGGCCUGGAGGAGGAGGCUAACCUCUCUUACUCCCCACGAGCUGUGCCAAGAUUCUACGGCCUCAGGCAGGGCCAGCAUGUUGUAUUGGACAGUUAUCCAUGCUGGUUCCACUGAGACUGCUGCUUCUUGAGCCCACAGGAUCCCGUUGGCUCUUGGGGCCCUGAAACCCAUGAGGAAUCUGGGAACCUAGGCAAAGUGACCCAGUCAAAUAGCUUUGUCAUAGGUGACAAAGUAACCAAGACUGCUGCUACUACCACCGAAGUGUGACACCUGCAGUCAUAAUCCAAGGAUAAGGCUGCAUUUCUUCGGUUAAAGUGAACAAGGGACUCUUCCAGAGCUGAGGUGGGCUGGUUUAUCCUGAAACAAGCCUGAGGAGAGAAGGCAAG